GCCGACGCAAACCUCACGUAGAAAAAAAAAUGAAAACCCACCCCACCGGCGCAUCUUCCCCACUCCUCCCUCGAUCCACUCCACCUUCCUCCCACGUCCCACCCCCAGAUCCACCAACUCCAUUGCCGCGCGCCAUGCCCAGGCCAGCCUCCCCCCGGCGCUCUGCCUAACUGCCCUACCUUCUCCGGCGCCCCCGCCACGCCCUCGCCGCCUCCCCGCCCGCAAAAAACUUCCUGGAUAGAGCAGCCCGCCUUGCGAUGCGCCGGCCGGAGGGGCACUCGUUCCGCGUCAACCCACCAGCGCCGCCAGGGCCCCGGUAGCCCUCCCGCCCCACUCCCGAGCGGCGCGGCCUCGCGGUGGAUAUGGACAACCACCACAGCGGCCUCACCCGUUCCCCUCCUUCCCCCGACGCCCAUGGAUCCAUGGUGGCACCCCCACCUCCCGAUGUGUGCUGGAGCGAGGUGGCCGGCGAGCUGCCUCCUCCCGGCGUGGUCAGGCUCCAUGGCUGGCGGAACAACAUCGCGGUGCUGCUGGGCUGCUCGGCUCCGCCCUAUCCCCCAUAACCGUAGCCUCGGACGACACUCCAGGCAACGGGAUCGGGCCAUCCCAUGUCAGAUCCCACCACCACGUUCCCUGCAGGUCAGUUGGAUCGUCGGUGCAGUACCCAAUUAUUUACUAUAGUUCUCUGCUGACGCGACCAGCUCGUUCCUUGGCCGUGCAGUUCGCCGUGGACCACUGAUUUUCGGCUUCGUCCGGUUCAGCCACCUCCAAAAAUUUGGUGUGAAUCGGGUGUGUUUUGGUGCAGUACGACGUGUAGAGGUUGAAGUUCUUUGUUUGGCGCAGUUUGAUUGCACCUAGGAUUUGCAGCAAAAACCUUGGCAAAUUUGUAUGGUGAAGUUCAUGGUUGCCCUGAUGCAGUCCA